rnacentral:rRNA from 1 species
GACGAACGCUGGCGGCGUGCCUAAUACAUGCAAGUGGAACGCAUUGGUAACACCGGACUUGCUCCAGUGUUACUAAUGAGUCGCGAACGGGUGAGUAACGCGUAGGUAACCUGCCUGAUAGCGGGGGAUAACUAUUGGAAACGAUAGCUAAUACCGCAUAAGAGGAGUUAACUCAUGUUAACUGUUUAAAAGAAGCAAUGGCUUCACUAUCAGAUGGACCUGCGUUGUAUUAGCUAGUAGGUAGGGUAACGGCCUACCUAGGCACCGAUACAUAGCCGACCUGAGAGGGUGAACGGCCACACUGGGACUGAGACACGGCCCAGACUCCUACGGGAGGCAGCAGUAGGGAAUCUUCGGCAAUGGACGCAAGUCUGACCGAGCAACGCCGCGUGAGUGAAGACGGUUUUCGGAUCGUAAAGCUCUGUUGUAGGGGAAG